AAAAUUGCCAUUGAAACUGGGAGACUUGAGUAUGUUUGAGGUAGGCGGAAUGCGUGGUGUAGCGGUGAAAUGCAUAGAUAUCACGCAGAACUCCGAUUGCGAAGGCAGCUUGCCAAGCCAUAACUGACACUGAAGCACGAAAGCGUGGGUAUCAAACAGGAUUAGAUACCCUGGUAGUCCACGCAGUAAACGAUGAUUACUAGGAGUUUGCGAUAAAAUGUAAGCUCUACAGCGAAAGCGUUAAGUAAUCCACCUGGGGAGUACGCCGGCAACGGUGAAACUCAAAGGAAUUGACGGGGGCCCGCACAAGCGGAGGAACAUGUGGUUUAAUUCGAUGAUACGCGAGGAACCUUACCCGGGUUUGAACGCAGUCCGACCGCCGAUGAAAGUCGGCUUCUAGCAAUAGCGGAUUGCGAGGUGCUGCAUGGUUGUCGUCAGCUCGUGCCGUGAGGUGUCGGCUUAAGUGCCAUAACGAGCGCAACCCUUGCCGUUAGUUACUAACAAGUUAUGUUGAGGACUCUAGCGGGACUGCCAGCGUAAGCUGUGAGGAAGGCGGGGAUGACGUCAAAUCAGCACGGCCCUUACAUCCGGGGCGACACACGUGUUACAAUGGCGUGGACAAAGAGCAGCCACUUGGCGACAAGGAGCUAAUCUCCAAACCACGUCUCAGUUCGGAUCGGAGUCUGCAACUCGACUCCGUGAAGCUGGAUUCGCUAGUAAUCGCGCAUCAGCCAUGGCGCGGUGAAUACGUUCCCGGGCCUUGUACACACCGCCCGUCAAGCCAUGGGAGCCGGGGGUACCUGAAGUCCGUAACCGUGAGGAUCGGCCUAGGGUAAAACUGGUGACUGGGGCUAAGUCGUAACAAGGUAACCA
rnacentral:rRNA from 1 species